rnacentral:rRNA from 1 species
CCCUUAGAUGUUCUGGGCAGCACGCGCGCUACAAUGGUCUUCGCAAACGGAUGCAUUCUCGAAGGAGAAUGCCAAUCUUGGAAUCUAUGCCUUGGUCGGGACAGUUGCUUGCAAUUUUUCGACUCGAACCAGGAAUUCCUUGUAAUCGUGAUUCAUCACAUCACGAUGAAUACGUCCCUGCCCUUUGUACACACCGCCCGUCGCUCCUACCGAUCGAAGAGUUAGGUGAAUUGUUUUGAUCGAUAAGAUUUGACUAUGGUCAACUCUCGUUGUGAAAUUCUGUGAAUCUGACUGUUUAGAGGAAGGAAAAAUCGUAACAA